AUUGAACGCUGGCGGCAGGCCUAACACAUGCAAGUCGAACGGUAACAGGAAGCAGCUUGCUGCUUUGCUGACGAGUGGCGGACGGGUGAGUAAUGUCUGGGAAACUGCCUGAUGGAGGGGGAUAACUACUGGAAACGGUAGCUAAUACCGCAUAACGUCGCAAGACCAAAGAGGGGGACCUUAGGGCCUCUUGCCAUCGGAUGUGCCCAGAUGGGAUUAGCUAGUAGGUGGGGUAACGGCUCACCUAGGCGACGAUCCCUAGCUGGUCUGAGAGGAUGACCAGCCACACUGGAACUGAGACACGGUCCAGACUCCUACGGGAGGCAGCAGGGGGGAAUAUUGAACAAUGGGCGCAAGCCUGAUGCAGCCAUGCCGCGUGUAUGAAGAAGGCUUUCGGGUUGUAAAGUACUUUCAGCGGGGAGGAAGGGAGUAAAGUUAAUACCUUUGCUCAUUGACGUUACCCGCAGAAGAAGCACCGGCUAACUCCGUG
rnacentral:rRNA from 1 species